CGCUAUGGUGAAAAAUAGGAGAGGCUGCACCAGACUGUCCAGAAAAAGAUGUGGCAAAAGAUCGUCCAGUACUGUCCGGAA